rnacentral:tRNA from 1 species
UGCGGCUGGAUCACCUCCUUUCUAGAGACAAAAAAAAGAAGCUAUUUUUUAAUUUAGAUACUAAAUUAAAAAAACUUACUCUCGCUGUUAAUUCAAAAAAAAAGAAAAGGCUUAAAAUACAGAGUCUCGUAGCUCAGCUGGUUAGAGUACUACACUGAUAAUGUAGGGGUCGGCAGUUCGAGUCUGCCCGGGACUACUUUUUAAAGCACAAGGAAAUUCUAGAAGCGAAUUUUGAAUUAUAAAUUUUAAAUGAUGAAUUUGAAAAAUAAUUCAAAAAAAUAAUUCAACAUCCAAAAUAGAAAAAAGAUUGGGGGGAUUAGCUCAGCUGGCUAGAGCGCCUGCCUUGCACGCAGGAGGUCAUCGGUUCGACUCCGAUAUUCUCCACGAUUUUAGUCUGUAAAGUCUAAAGGCCUAAAGUCAAAAGUAUUUUACUUUAAGACUUUCGACUUUUGACCUUCGACUAAAUAAAAGUUCAUUGACAUAUUGAGAUAAACAUACAAACAAGUAGAAAGAACACUUUAGUAAUUAGUAAAGAGUGAAUAGUAAUUAGUCUUAGGACUAGUCACUAAUUACUUAGAGCUAAUCACUAAAAAAAAAGAAAACAAUAAGCAAAAUAAGGGCGUAUGGGGGAUGCCUAG